UACGUAGGGGGCGAGCGUUGUCCGAAGUUACUGGGCGUAAAGCGCGCGUAGGCGGGUUGGCAAGUCUGCUGUGAAAGCCCGGGGCUUAACUCCGGAGGGUCGGUGGAUACUGCCAGUCUUGAAGGUGCUAGGGAGAGAUGGAAUUACCGGUGUAGCGGUGAAAUGCGUAGAUAUCGGUAGGAACACCAGUGGCGAAGGCGGUCUCCUGGGGCAUUCUUGACGCUGAGGCGCGAAAGCUGGGGGAGCGAACGGG
rnacentral:rRNA from 1 species